rnacentral:rRNA from 1 species
CACGUAGGGCGCAAGCGUUGUCCGGAAUUAUUGGGCGUAAAGAGCUCGUAGGUGGUUUGUUACGUCUGCUGUGAAAACCUAGGGCUUAACCCUGGGCUUGCAGUGGAUACGGGCAGACUAGAGGUAGGUAGGGGAGAAUGGAAUUCCUGGUGUAGCGGUGAAAUGCGCAGAUAUCAGGAGGAACACCGGUGGCGAAGGCGGCUCUCUGGGCCUUACCUGACGCUGAGGAGCGAAAGCUGGGGGAGCGAACAGG